UACAGAGUGAGCAAGCGUUACCCAUCCUAACUGGGUGUAAAGGGUGUGUAGGUUGAUAUUAUCUAGAAGACUAAAUGAAAAUUGCUGUGUUCGGCAGAUGUUUUUAGUACCAAAUAUCUUUGAGACAUAAAGAGAUUAUUAGUAUACAUGGUUGCUUAUUUAGGAAAUUAUUUUUUUAUUUCAUGGGGACUACCAAUAGCGAAGGCGUUUAAUCUGUUAUGUUCUGACACUAAGGCACGAAAUCGUGGGGAGCAAAAGGG
rnacentral:rRNA from 1 species